AUGGUUAAAGCACCUAAAAGCAAGAUGCUCUGGCCAAAGUUUCCUGCUGUGUUGGUGCAACAGGGAAUGACACGUGAGUCUUUCAUGGAUCAAAUAUAGACAACAUGUGAGAGAUAAAGCUACCCUUGAACUGCCUUAAGCCCUGCCCAUGUACCUGGUAGAGGGAAGGCAAGGAGACCUCAAUAGAAAAGGCUGAAGGUAUAUGGUGAAAGUCAGGUGCUCAGGGAAUUGUGAAUUACCAGCUAGAGGAAAUGAAUUCACCUGGUUCUGCAGGUGAGACAUCUCCAGCGAUGACAGGAGCUCUUCAAAGAACGCUUAAUGCAUCUCGUGAGCAAGAAUUAGCCAGCCAGGGGGAAGGAGGGUCAGGUUGCAUCAAUAUUGGUCAGGAGCAGAGGAAGAACUUGCCCCAUAGAAUGAACCAGCGUUGAGGAGGAGGCAACAGAGAGAGGGCAGGAGGAAGAGUGGGGAAGAAACUGUUUACAGCAUUAGAGCUGUUCAUACCUUUUCAAUUCCCCUGAACAAGUCUUCAAGAUAAUUCUGGCUGCUAUUGACAACUAAAGUACCUACAUGAUGGGAGCAGAUUGGAAAAAGUAAAUAGUUUGGAGAGGAAAAAAAAUCCCAUAUUUUCUCCUCAAAGUUGGAGAAAAGGAGAAUUAUGCAAAAAGAGAAAAUAUGUAAGUCUCAUAAUUUUUAAGACUAACAUAUAUGACAAUUUAUAAAAUUAUCUCUUUGAAUACAGCACAUUAUGUUGCUUUAUUGUUUAUCCAACUUCUCAAAACAUCACAAGUUAUAUAGGAAAGAUACUACCAGUUACGAUGAUGUAUCCCUCAGUAUAGGCAAAUAUAACCCUUGACAUGUAGUGGUAAUCUUGAUACUAUCUUUGAGAUAAACCAUAUGUCCUGAAAGAAACUUAUCUAUACAAGGUCAGGAUAAUAUCACGUAGAGGCACAAUGGAGGUGUAGUUAGAGACAGAUUAGGGGACAAAAAUUACAAAGUCUCAAGCAAGACAAGUUUAUUUCUCCAUCAUAUAAGAGGGUGGAGAUAGUCCUGGGAGAGUAGGUGACUGCUCCAAAAACAUAUUCAGCCAACCAUGUUCCAACUGAUACUUUGCAGUCUGUGCCUGGAUCACCUGGAGGGUUUUUCUUUUAAAACAGAGUGCUGGGCCCCAACUCCAGAGUUUCUGAUUGAAUAGUUCAGGGAGUGAGAAUUUGCAUUCUCAAGUUUCCGGGGGAAGCUGAUGCUGCUCGUCAGGGAACUACACUUGAAAAUGCACUACCCUAUGGUGCUGUCCUCAUCUGGACCAGCCCAUGGGAAAAGAAAAACAGAGAAAAAGAUAUGACCCAGAGAUGAUACACACUUUUUUGCUGGGAUUCUUUUAGGCAGAUCAGAGUCAAAUGGCCUCACCUAUCUCCAAGAAAAAUUAAAAUGCAGCAGCUUCCAUUAUUAAAGGGAAGAAGAAAUCCUUCCAAUAUUGAGUCUUCUGACCUGUGAGCAAGAUACAGCUCUCCAGUUAUUCGGGUUUUCUGUAAUUCUGUCAGCAAUGUUUUGUGGUUUUUGGGUACAAGUCUUUCACAUCUUUUAUCGGAAUUUUUUUAAGUAUUUCAUAUUUUUGAUGUUAUAAGUGGUAUUAUUUUUACUUUUUGAAUGUUUCUUAUGCAUAUAGAAAUACAGUUCAAUUGUCAUUCCUUCAAAUUGAUCUAAAGAUUUAAUAACAACUCAAUAAAAGCUUAGCAGGUCUCUUUUUGGGUCAAAAUUGACAAGCUGAUUCUAAAAUUCACAUGGAAAGGCAAAGGACCUAGAAUAAUCAACAAGAAGAAAAUUGGAAGGCUAAUAUCACCUGAUGUUGAGAUUUAUUGUAAAGUAAUCAGUUAUGGAGAUGGAAUAUCUAGUAAAAGCACUGUUGGAUUGAAGUAGAAAUUAUCACUAUUACUACAUCUUUCCUUCUUCUUACUCAACCCCCAGACUCUCAGGGCAUGAAUGCUAUAGUUUUAUGGACUGAAUGUUUGUGUCCCCACCCACACUCCCCCAUCUAUAUGUUGAGGCCCAAAAGAUGGGGUCCUACGAUGAGAUUAGUGCUCUUGUAAGAAGAGGCACCAGCGAGCUUGUUCUCUCUCUCUCUCUCUCUGCCAUGUGAGAACACCGUGAGAAGCUAGCUGUCUCCAAGUCUGGAAAAAAGACUUCACCAGAAACUGACCAUGCUGGAACCCUCAUCUCAGACUCUGGCCUCCAGAAAUGCACUUUGCAGUUUCAGAAUGGGAUCAAGUUUGUCAGUUUCUACAGAAAAGCCAGCUGAAUUUUCACUGGGAUUGACUUGAAUCUACAGAUUAAUUUAAGAGGAGUUGACGUCCUGACAAUACUGGUCUCUAAUCAAUAAAAAAUUUAUAUAUAACCAUUUAUUUGGGUUU